ensembl:lncRNA
ACUUUCUGAGUGAUAUGGUUUGGCCGUGUCCUCACCCAAAUCUAAUCUUGAAAUCCCAUGUGUUGUGGGAGGGACCCAGUGGGAGGUAACUGAAUCAUGGAGACAAGUAUUUCCUGUGCUCUUCUCAUGACAGUGGGUAAGUUUCUAUUUAUAAAUGAGAGCUGAUGGUUUUAUAAAUGGGAGCUUCUCUGCACAAGCUCUCUCCUCUUGUUUGCUGCCAUGUGAGACAUGCCUUUCACCUUCGGCCGUGACUGUGAGGCCAUCCCAGCCACAUGGAACUAUGUGCCUUGCUUCCUUCCUCUUUGCCUUCUGCCAUGAUUGUAAGUUUCCUGAGGCCUUCCCAGCCAUGCAACAUGGUGGAUCCACUCUGGAGCAUGCUCUACAGAGUCUUUUAUGGACCCAAGUGGAAGAAAAGAAGAACAACCCAGUUAUUCACAAAGAUAACUUGACUUUAGGCUCUACCAGGAACUACACCACUAGUUCUCAUGGUUUGGGGUUCUUCAGACUUGGAUUGGAAAUAUACCACCAGCUCUCCUUGGUCUCCAACUUGCCAAAUGAAGACCAUGGGACUUCUCAGCCUCAUCAUCAUUGGCAUAGCCCACAACCUUCACAGCCUUUGGACACAGUUGCCUUUUGCAAGAGGUGAAGAAAAAUAUUUUCCUGGCAUUUCUAGAGAAGCCUGGGCAUGCAUAGGAAGAAAUGCAUUUGCAAGCUCUAUAGCCCAAUCCUUCAACUGAAAUGUGUCUACUUAGAAGAAUGUUAAUUUAAUGAAUGCAAAUAUAUUAAGACAUGUUUUUUCCCUUGAAUGUAAAAUUGUUUUACCACAAUGUAUUACUCCACUCUUCUGUUUCAUGAACCACCUACAUGUGGGUAACAGCCCUCCAGGAACAGAAUGCAGUCCAGUCUGUUCAGUAGCCUAGAAACAUCUUAAAGCCAUCUGCUAUUAAAUGUGUUCAGGGAAGAAGGAAGCAAAGGGGUGAAAAGAAGAGACAUUAUUCAAAAUGCUACUAAUUGAUUAUAAGUUUUUGUUUCUGUAAAUGCUCAGAUUUAAAUUUUCACACUAAAGAACCUAAAAUUAAUAAUUUCAACCUCUUUAUUUUUACCUAUUUUUUUGGGAAACUUUUUAAUAGUGCCUACUUAACUAGCACCCCAAAGAGAAAUGGGAAACAGUGUAUAAAAUCUAGAUACAUACAGAUGAUUCUCAAAUACAGGAAGUAAAUUAGACCAGUUCUAAAUAUGUAGGUUACAUAUUUUGGGAACUUAUAAAGAGAAAAAUGAGAAGGAUCAUAUUAUAGUCUGAAUAAUUUUUGCAAGUAGACACUAAACAUGGCCUGCAUAAACAUAUACGAGAGAAAAAGUAAUAGACUUUUCUCAUCCAUUGAAAGGGUCAUAGCUGAUAUCCCUAUAACAAAAGACAAAUUAACAAGAGAAAAGCAAUAACAAAUAUAUUUAAUCAUAUUUUUAUAUGACAUGGGAUCCUUCAGAGAUGAUGACACAAAGAUGUAGAAUAUGCUGUAUAUUUUUAUGCAGACAUUUGAUGAAGAAUGAACAGUCAUGUAGAAGUAUAAUUGGACAAAAAAUAAAGGAUAAUAACUAUUGGUAAUACGGGGAACUUAGCAGGGCCUAUUUGUUCAGAUUCUUCUUGGCUUCCAGAUAUAGGGUAGGACACCCCUAGAAUGAGGACCUUAUGACUUACUUUCAGAAUUUCUUAAUGUUCAUGCUUCAGGGAAGAAAGGUGGGAGAAGGUGAGGGUGUUUUUGCUUCUGCUGUUUACUUAAUCAUCACAGUCAUCUUUUGGGGUAAUGUGUUCUGAGCUCUGACAAGAAAAACAGCAACAUAAUAAUAACUCUUAUUCAUUAUAUACUCACUGAAUAGCAGGCACUAUGUCAAGCAUUUUACACUGAUUAUCUCAUUUAACUCUCAUGACACCUCUGUGGAUGUAUUCUUAGUUUAAAAAUAAAGAAACUAAGACACAGAGAAAUUAUGCAAGUUAUUUCAAAUGACACAAUUAGCAAAUGGCAGCAUGAAAUUCAGCCCCUUUUUCUGUGACAUAAAAGCCUGUUUUUUGGCCCCUACAUCCUUGCUGCCAACUUUGACAGCAAGUCAUGCUUUUUGACCCUGGGAAAAUCUUGGUAGUACACAUCUUAGCACCUCACAGAGAUAACACUAAAUUUAGGCCACUGACGAGAAAAACAACAGGUUAGAGUCACAGCGUGAACAUUCGCCUCACCAAAGGCAAACUACACUGUAAGGCCAGUUGCCUCACCGGAAGCUCAGACACGCCCAUUCCUCUCCCUGCCUGAAAAUUUUGUCACCAGAAUAUGCCCAUUAUCUAGCUCCGCCUUGGAAAUCCUCUUUGCACUCAGCACUAAGCUCUGCACCUGGCACCUAGCCCUGCCUUGGAAAUCCCCUCUGCACUCAGCACUAAGCUCUGCACCCAGCACCUAGCCCUGCCUUGGAAAUCCCCUCUACUCUCAACACUAAGCUCUGCACUCAGCACCUAGCCCACUCACUGGAAAUCCCGCCUACCUACCAAUAGCAGCUUGCCCUGUCCACGUCCUGUUUCUCCACAACCAAUCAGAACGCCUUCCCUCCCUAUAAAACCCCACACCUGAGAGGAGUCAGGCAUGACUUAUCUGGCCUCUUUCCCCACGUCCACAGAAAGUCACCUGGGAGCUGAAUAAAUUGGAAUCUAACUGUUCUCAUGCAGGCCUCAUUUUCCUUAUUUUAAACUCGGCAAUAAACCUCACAAGACAAUAACCCUUACAUACACAAUCUGACCAGUGUAUAACCCUGCACUUGUAAGAAAAUAUUUAUGUAAAAAAAAGGAGGUUUACAUUUGGCAACAGAGUGUCUGGCUCAGUCAUUUAAAUUCACAGAGAGGAUAAGCAGGAAAACUUUCUCUAAAGGUGUGUGACAACUGAGAGGCCACAGAAUGUGUACUCUGUGGUAUACAGUAAAUAAGCCUAAGACUGCAAAGGCGAGGAGAAGUCUGGGCAAGCUCCCUGUUUAAAUGAACAGCAUGUGUGAGCUGUGAAAACUUGUCACUCCCACCUCACCACUCCCUUUGUCAGAGACCUUCAAACUAGAGCAGCAUUCAAACUAGAAAUACUCCAUCUUGAGUGAGGGCUAGGAAAAUGAGGCUGGGGCUUUCUGGGCUUCAUUCCCAGAAAGGUACACCUAGCCUCUAAAUGUUUACAGUUAAGGGAAAAGAUUAAUAAUGUUGACUAAACAG